UACGGGGGGGGCAAGCGUUUGUUCGGAAUUACUGGGCGUAAAGGGCUCGUAGGCGGCCAACUAAGUCGGAUGUGAAAUCCCCAGGCUUAACCUGGGAAUUGCAUCCGAUACUGGAUGGCUUGAAUCCGGGAGAGGGAUGCGGAAUUCCAGGUGUAGCGGUGAAAUGCGUAGAUAUCUGGAGGAACACCGGUGGCGAAGGCGGGUCUCUGGGCCGGAUGACUGACGCUGGAGGAGCGAAAGCGUGGGGAGCGAACAGG
rnacentral:rRNA from 1 species